AAUUUUGUAUAAAUAAUAAAUGGGAAACAUUUAAUUAAAAAAAAAAAACUAAUUGUGGUCGAAAAUUGGACCACAUUUAGACCAGAUCUGAUCUUUAAUUUUCAUUUCAAGGUUUCUUCUUUCUCUCUCUUUCCUCUAUCCCUCUCCUCUCUCUACCCACACACACCACCUCUCUCCCUCUCCUCUCUACCCACACCACCACCCCACCAGCCCAGACGCUCAACCCACUGCCUUUCCAACCACCGCCAGACCACCGUCAGCGGCGAAGCUAAUUAUUUUCAGGAGGUCUAGAGGGGUCAGGCAUGUUACACCCCAGAAAAUUUCGCGUUACUAAGGCUGCAGAUGGCUUAUUAUGAGCUCAAGGAGGAGCAAAUAUUAUAAGUAUAAAUGAUGAAAUUCUACUGUAUUAGCAUGAGGACAACAUGAGUAUGAUAUUUGGAAUGAUACGUUAAAAGAUAUAUAGCCCUCAUAACCGUAAGUUGAGACGGGGCCCACAUGAUGGGGUUUUUAUAAAGGACAUAUGACAAGUUAUAUGGACAAUAUAUGUGAAGUUAAACAAGCCUCAAGAAGGACCCUUGAGCCAAAUCCAAGUGUAAGCCCUCCAAAAAGAUGUUUUUAAGUUACGUUUUUGGGUGAUCUGACUUCGGGAGGCCAUAACCCCAUCAUUAUUUGGGAAUUUGGGAAAACUCUAAAUACUGAACUUGUAGAUAAUUGCAUUAGAUUUCCAACCAUAGGUCGUGGGCCUUCACACGACAUAGGGAUAAACGGUUAUGGACAUUUUAAGGCAGAAAGGUCAAGCUGGGCAGUGGGCUCGGCCCAACCCGACUCAAUGUCGGUGGGAACCGACCCAAGACCCCUAUAUAAGGGUGAAAUUCGUGCAAUUUUUUGACAUUUAACCCCAAAAAGAGCUGAACCUUUUAGAGAGAGAGAGAGAGGAGAGUUAGAGAGAGAAAGUGGAGAAUCGAUCAAGUUCGAGGUCCCGAAUCUCGAGGCUCGUGAAGGAUAAAGUGUAGUACGAGUUGUCGUCAUCGUUUCAAGCUAAAUAUUGAUCUUGGGGGAUGAUAUUUUCGUGGUUGAGCUGCUUCUAAGAUUAGCAUGACUCGAAGAUGGGAUGUGGUUAGCUGGAAAACGGCAAAGCCCGAGAUUGUUUGCAGGUUAAGUGUAUAGCUAGGAUGCUUGGACGUCAGUUGGGAUUGGCAAGUUCCACCUCAUUCUGGAGCUGUGCUGAGUCAUGUAUCGAUAUGUAUGAUUAUGGGUAUGUCAGGGCCCUGUCCUGACUCAUAAUGUUCAGUUUACUUCUUAGAGACUUCUGCAGACAGUGUCCUGUGGUAUGUUUGUCGAGAUGUCGACAAAGUGGUGUCAGUUGAGUCAUUUGUGGAUUUUAAAAGAGUAUGAAUUUUAGAUGACUUCAAUUGGUUUAAAGUACUUAUUUGAUUAAAAGUUUUCAUAAUCGUUAUAAAGAUAAUAAUUUCUAUUUGGAAAAGUUUUAUAUUCUUAAAAGUUUUUGAAAUGAUAGGAUUUGAUAGAGUGAAUGUCUAAGGGUUCGCUCAACUCUGAUGAGAGUCGGGUGCCCGUCAUGCCCUAACACUGUUAGGGUGUGACAAGGCAGUACCUCAAGAUGAGAUCUUCAAGAUUACUCACACAAGGAAGGAAAAGAACGCCAAUGGUACAUACCGAUGAGUUGAGCCAAGGGCUGAGCGAACUUGGAACGAAUUUCAACAACACUUUGGGGAGUUUUGAGCCACUCAGCCAAGUAGCACGCCGAUUACCGACGACUUAAUAUAGCAACAGUGGAUUGAGAAGGUUGCUCCCCCAACAAGGCAUAGGACAGUUUAUGGGAUGGCUAAUCGAGCCUUUCGUCGAUACCCGUGUGCCCUUGAAGCCGUAGGUGUUACUGAUGAUAGGGCAGUUGAUCCUAAGGAGCAUGAAGCUAUGAAGCAUCAAGUUGACCUGCUAACAAGAACACUUAAUUCCUCGGAGGCCAGGAUGUUGGGUAUGAAAGCCUAGAUUAAUAGCUUACUUAAUUCGCGGCCGUUUCCGAUUCCCCUAUGUCCUGGGAUGCUCGUAGGUCACAUCCCCUAGCCAACCCCGACCUUCCCAAGGUAGACUACGUAGGUCACAAGCUGACAUAAAUCAUGCUCUUGUCGAUGAGUCUAGUGGGGAGGAUACAGAUCAUGUCUCUAACACCGAACGUUGAUCUUUUUUAUUAGUGUGCUUUUGGAUUCUAAUUCUGCUAUGUUUAAAUGGAUAUGUAUAUUAUGUUUAAGGGUUUGAAUGUAGUUUUAAUUUGAACUAGAAGUACUUUUAAUUUUAAGAUGUGUAAGUGUUUGAAUGUAGUUUAUGAUGUUUAAG